UACGGAGGGGGCGAGCGUUGUCCGAAGUUACUGGGCGUAAAGCGCGCGUAGGCGGGUUGGCAAGUCCGCUGUGAAAGCCCGGUGCUUAACGCCGGAGGGUCGGUGGAUACUGCCAGUCUUGAAGGUGCUAGGGGAAGAUGGAAUUACCGGUGUAGCGGUGAAAUGCGUAGAUAUCGGUAGGAACACCAGUGGCGAAGGCGGUCUUCUGGAGCACUCUUGACGCUGAGGCGCGAAAGCUGGGGGGAGCGAACGGG
rnacentral:rRNA from 1 species